rnacentral:lncRNA from 1 species
CCCUCAUAUCUGUGGGGUCUGUGGGCUCAGUUCCUCUUUUUCCUGUAGGAUCUGUGGGAUCUGCUCUCCUUCUGCCUGUAGGAUCAGCUCCUCCUCCUGUAGGGUCUGUGGGGUCAGGUCCUCACCCUUCCUGUGGGGUCAGCUCCCCUUAUACCUGUAGGUUCAGCUCUUCAUCCCUCCUGUGGGAUCUGUGGGGUCAGCUGCCCUCAUACCUGUGGGGGGGUCUGUGGGGUCAGCUCCUCUUUUUUCCUGUAGGAUCUGUGGGAUCAGCUCCCCUUCUGCCUGUAGGAUCAGCUCCUCCUCCUAUGGGAUCUGUGGGGUCAGCUCCUCACCCUUCCUGUAGGGGUCUGUGGGGUCAGCUCCCCUUAUACCUGUAGGUUCAGCUCUUCAUCCCUCCUGUAGGAUCUGUGGGGUCAGCUGCCCAUAUACCUGUAGGAUCAGCUCUUCCUCCUAUGGGAUCUGUGGGGUCAGCUCCUCACCCUUCCUGUGGGGUCUG